UACGUAGGGUGCAAGCGUUGUCCGGAAUUAUUGGGCGUAAAGAGCUCGUAGGCGGUUUGUUGCGUCGGCUGUGAAAUCCCGAGGCUCAACCUCGGGUCUGCAGUCGAUACGAGCAAACUAGAGUGUUGCAGGGGAGACUGGAAUUCCUGGUGUAGCGGUGAAAUGCCCAGAUAUCAGGAGGAACACCGGUGGCGAAGGCGGGUCUCUGGGCAACAACUGACGCUGAGGAGCGAAAGCGUGGGGAGCGAACAGG
rnacentral:rRNA from 1 species